rnacentral:rRNA from 1 species
CAGCCGCCGCGGUAAUACGUAGGGUGCGAGCGUUAAUCGGAAUUACUGGGCGUAAAGCGUGCGCAGGCGGUUGUGUAAGACAGGUGUGAAAUCCCCGGGCUUAACCUGGGAACUGCGCUUGUGACUGCACAGCUAGAGUAUGGCAGAGGGGGGUGGAAUUCCACGUGUAGCAGUGAAAUGCGUAGAGAUGUGGAGGAACACCGAUGGCGAAGGCAGCCCCCUGGGCCAAUACUGACGCUCAUGCACGAAAGCGUGGGGAGCAAACAGGAUUAGAUACCCCUGUAGUCCCUGUCUCUUAUAC